GACGAACGCUGGCGGCGUGCUUUAGGCAUGCAAGUCGAACGCGAAAGCCCCUUCGGGGGUGAGUAGAGUGGCUAACGGGUUAGUAACACGUUGGUAACCUGCCCCUCGCAGGGGGAUAACCUGGGGAAACCCCGGCUAAUACCCCGUACGCUUGCUGGGGCGCAUGCUCCGGCAAGGAAAGGUAGCUUCGGCCAUCCGGCGUGGGAGGGGCCCGCUGCCCAUUAGCUAGUUGGGGGGGUAACGGCCCACCAAGUCGACGAUGGGUAGCGGGCCUGAGAGAGUGGUAGGCAACCGUGGGACGGAGACACGGCCAAAACCCCUAGGGGGGGAAGCAGCGAGAAAUCUUGCGCAAGGGGGGAAGGCCUGACGCAGCAAGGCCGCGUGGGCGAUGAAGGCCUUCGGGUCGUAAAGACCUGUUGUCGGGGACGAAGGGAGAAGGGUUAAUAGCCCCUAGCUUGACGGUACCAGAAGAGGAAGCCCCGGCUAACUACGUG
rnacentral:rRNA from 1 species